ACUCUGCCAUUUUAUUAUUUGAUACCACAAUUGACUGUAGUGGGGGAAAAGUUGACAAGCUAAUGAUAUGGUUUACACACAUUUUUAAAAAUUGGCAAGUAAAUAGGCUGAUCUUAUCUUAGACAAAGAAUAUAUCAGUAUAUAAGUAACACACAGCUAAAAGGGUAACAGUAAAAAUACCAGACUAUAUAUAUAUAUUUAUGGAAAAUACUGUUACCUGAGGCGCAGCUGAGGGUUACAGUGCUUUUCCUAGAGCUUAUGUUUUGACUGUAACCUGUUAAUUAAGGUAUUUUUUUUUUCACCCCGAAAAACAAUCAAGUACUGAAAGUACAUUACAACCCCUUAGUACCAGAGUAUGCAAAAGGGAAAACAUACAUAGGCCCAAAACACCCAAAAAUGUGUACCCAUAGACGACAACCCUGUAUAAGGCAAUAAGGCCUUCAGUGGUGUGAACUAUUUCUUACAAAAUAAAUUGAUUUUUUUUUUAUUUUUGAUGUGAGAAAAAGUCAGAUGUCACCUGUACUAACUUUGAUUAUAUAGCAAACAUUAGACAAAGCCGUCAGGAGGAAAGUCAUCGGAGACAUGAGGAGCCUGUAAAUCACUACAGUCCAGCCAGAGGCCCCCAAAUAGAUCUGUGCAGAUUUUGCUCAUUUUCAAACAGAGAUUCCAUUGCUUCACAACGGCCAGAACUUGGGAAUCUGUCUCAUUCUUCUGUUCAAGAAGAGAAGGGAAAGACACAGUCAAAGAAAACAUGAAAACCUGUGGACCAGCCAUAAAGCGCCAUCAUGAAAUCUCAUAUUUUUUGAAUCGCUGUAUUUCCACCGAAACAAAUUUCUUGUUUCUUGUGGAAAGUACCUUGUUUGAUAUGGAAACAUCAGAGUUAACAGAUGGAAUUCUGUAUGCUGUGGCGUUCAAAAGUGGACAGAGAACAUUCCUUCGCUUCUUUAAAUAUUGAGAGUUCUCUGGUUUUAUGGAAUACAAAGGUUUAUCCCACAUAGGUUUUGAUGGCAAUAUGUUCUGAGAUAAUGUGUUCACACAAUCUGAUGUUGACAUGGGAAAACAGUGUUAUAGAGGUGCACUGACUGAAAAGAGAAAUAAGUUGUUUGAGUAUGAAAAAACGAAUCAAUUGCAAGCGUCAGGAAAGAAGUAUUCGGCUCUUCUAAAAAAGAACAAAAACAGCAUUUCAAAUCUGAUGGAGCAUUUUCGUGCACAUGUGCAGAGAGAGCAGUUCCGGGAACACUUGACCUGUAUUGGACUGCUUGCAUGCAGUAUAAAAAAGAAGAGUUUUAAGGACAAAGAAAGGUUACUGCGAUGCAAUGUUUUCGUCUUCGAAAAGACACAUUGUUUACAUGAACAAAGCCGAAAACCUCUGCCCACAUUUAGAAAUAUUGAAAAGUCAUAAAUAUAUCUGGGAAAAUGAAUUGCUCAAUAGUGCUAUAGCCAGUAGUUCCAAUGAACAGGCCUGUGAAGAUGAUACUGAAGAGACAGAGGCAUUGGGACUAGAUGAGACGAAUAAAGAAGACCUUACCGCACAACCUGUACAAGACCAAGAUAUUAAGGGUCAUCAUUUCAACCCUGAAAGCGGAUUGUUGGAAUAUCCCAGCCUCAGCAAAGAAUGGCCUCUUCCUGAUGGUUGUGCCAGUCUGCGAGACAGCAUACAAGCACAAUCCCUAAUUUGUGACAGAAUGAACGGAAGGGAUGGUGAAGGAUUUCUGUUCACCAACCAGGGGGGCUUGGAGAAGCUGAGAGUGUGUUCGUUGCCAGCUGAAUGCAGUUGUGGAGUAAGAUGCACUUGCAUUUUAUAUCCAAUAACAUACUCAAAAAGGUAAAUAUGGGAAACUAAGACAUUAUACAUGUGUCUAAAUGGUAUUUUUUUUAAAGGGGAUCCAAACUAUCAAGUUGAGGGUUAUAUAUACUUGCGCAUUAUAUUCAGUAAAAUGCAUAGGAAAAGAAAACAAUAUAGUACAAUUGACUUGUUUUUACUGUCCAUUGUGUAGCAUAACACAU